CCAAGCAAUAUACUCCCGCCGGUCCUAUUUAUAAGAGAAUUUUUUGUCAACAAAAGUUGAUGUAUCUAGUUAAAAAUUCAGUCCAAAUACUGUUGACCUAAACUUCUCUUAUAAAUAGGACCGGAGGGAGUACUUCACAUAAC
rnacentral:pre_miRNA from 1 species